rnacentral:rRNA from 1 species
UACGUAGGGUCCGAGCGUUGUCCGGAAUUAUUGGGCGUAAAGAGCUCGUAGGCGGUUUGUCGCGUCUGCUGUGAAAUCCCGAGGCUCAACCUCGGGCCUGCAGUGGGUACGGGCAGACUGGAGUGCGGUAGGGGAGAAUGGAAUUCCUGGUGUAGCGGUGGAAUGCGCAGAUAUCAGGAGGAACACCGGUGGCGAAGGCGGAUCUCUGGGCCUUGCCUGACGCUGAGGCGCGAACGCUAGGGGAGCGAACAGG